rnacentral:rRNA from 1 species
UACAGAGGGUGCGAGCGUUGUCCGGAAUCACUGGGCGUAAAGGGCGCGUAGGCGGCCUGAUAAGUAGGGGGUGAAAUCCUGUGGCUUAACUGCAGGGCUGCCUCCUAGACUGUUAGGCUCGAGCACGGUAGAGGCAGAUGGAAUUCCCGGUGUAGCGGUGGAAUGCGUAGAGAUCGGGAAGAACAUCGGUGGCGAAGGCAGUCUGCUGGGCCGUUGCUGACGCUGAGGCGACGACAGCGUGGGGAGCAAACAGG